UCUAAGGUGUUGGGUGCUACUUUUGUGGUCAUGCUUUUCUUAGGCAUGACCUCUGCAGCAAGGUUGCUCUCAAAUAGUGAUGGUGGUGGCGGCGGAAGUGGUGGUGAAGGUGGCAGUGGUGGUGGAGGUGGUUCUGGUUAUGGAUCGGGAUAUGGUUCGGGAUAUGGGAAAGGCGGUGGGUAUGGAAGUGGAGGUGGAGGUGGAGGUGGACAAGGUGGUGGUGGAGGAUCAGGUAGUGGUUAUGGAUCUGGCUCAGGUUAUGGACAAGGAUAUGGAAGUGGUAGAGGUGGUGGGGGAGGUAGUGGAGGGGGUGGUAGAGGUGGACAAGGUGGUGGUGGAGGAUCGGGUAGUGGUUAUGGAUCUGGCUCAGGUUAUGGACAAGGAUAUGGAAGUGGUAGAGGUG
rnacentral:lncRNA from 1 species